rnacentral:rRNA from 1 species
UACGUAGGGGGCAAGCGUUGUCCGGAAUCAUUGGGCGUAAAGAGCGUGUAGGCGGCCUGAUAAGUCGGUUGUGAAAGUCAAGGGCUCAACCCUUGAAUGCCGGCCGAUACUGGCAGGCUAGAGUCCGGAAGAGGCGAGUGGAAUUCCUGGUGUAGCGGUGAAAUGCGCAGAUAUCAGGAGGAACACCGAUGGCGAAGGCAGCUCGCUGGGAUGGUACUGACGCUGAGACGCGAAAGCGUGGGGAGCGAACAGG